rnacentral:rRNA from 1 species
UACGAAGGGGGCGAGCGUUGUUCGGAUUUACUGGGCGUAAAGGGCGCGCAGGCGGCGACACAUGUCAGGCGUGAAAGCCCCGGGCUUAACCUGGGAGGUGCGUUUGAAACGGUGUUGCUAGAGUUCGGGAGAGGAGAGUGGAAUUCCCAGUGUAGAGGUGAAAUUCGUAGAUAUUGGGAAGAACACCGGUGGCGAAGGCGGCUCUCUGGACCGAGACUGACGCUGAGGCGCGAAAGCGUGGGGAGCAAACAGG